CCCUUAUGUAGGCCAUUUUUUCUACUGUUCCAUGUAUGAUUUCGGUCAUGUAUGCAGUUGAAAAUAAUUAUAUGACCGAUUUAAUAUAUGGCUCAGUGGUUAUGAAAAAUCAUCAAACCCAAA
rnacentral:precursor_RNA from 11 species